CACGUAGGGGGCAAGCGUUGUCCGGAUUUAUUGGGCGUAAAGAGCUCGUAGGUGGUUCGGUAAGUCAGGUGUGAAACCUCCAGGCUCAACCUGGAGACGCCACUUGAUACUGCUGUGACUGGAGUCCGGUAGGGGAGCGUGGAAUUCCUGGUGUAGCGGUGGAAUGCGCAGAUAUCAGGAGGAACACCAGCGGCGAAGGCGGCGCUCUGGGCCGGUACUGACACUGAGGAGCGAAAGCGUGGGUAGCAAACAGG
rnacentral:rRNA from 1 species